AGGAACAACAACAGUGGCAGCGCAAGCUCUCCAGCCCUGGAGUCAGCUUCCGCAGUAACUACAGAGCUCUCAGUCUGCAGGGUCCUGGAUGCUCCGGGGGCGG
rnacentral:pre_miRNA from 1 species